rnacentral:tRNA from 1 species
GGAGCGGUAGUUCAGUUGGUUAGAAUACCGGCCUGUCACGCUGGGGGUCGCGGGUUCGAGUCCCGUCCGCUCCG